AGUCGAACGGAAAGGCCCUGCUUGCAGGGUACUCGAGUGGCGAACGGGUGAGUAACACGUGGGUGAUCUGCCCUGCACUUCGGGAUAAGCUUGGGAAACUGGGUCUAAUACCGGAUAGGACCGCACUUUAGUGUGUGUGGUGGAAAGUUUUUUCGGUGUAGGAUGAGCUCGCGGCCUAUCAGUUUGUUGGUGGGGUAAUGGCCUACCAAGGCGGCGACGGGUAGCCGGCCUGAGAGGGUGUACGGCCACAUUGGGACUGAGAUACGGCCCAGACUCCUACGGGAGGCAGCAGUGGGGAAUAUUGCACAAUGGGCGCAAGCCUGAUGCAGCGACGCCGCGUGGGGGAUGAAGGCCUUCGGGUUGUAAACUCCUUUCGCUAGGGACGAAGCUUUUCGUGACGGUACCUAGAUAAGAAGCACCGGCUAACUACGUGCCAGCAGCCGCGGUAAUACGUAGGGUGCGAGCGUUGUCCGGAAUUACUGGGCGUAAAGGGCUCGUAGGUGGUUUGUCGCGUCGUCUGUGAAAUUCUGGGGCUUAACUCCGGGCGUGCAGGCGAUACGGGCAUAACUUGAGUGCUGUAGGGGUAACUGGAAUUCCUGGUGUAGCGGUGAAAUGCGCAGAUAUCAGGAGGAACACCGAUGGCGAAGGCAGGUUACUGGGC
rnacentral:rRNA from 1 species